GAUGAACGCUGGCGGCGUGCCUAAUACAUGCAAGUCGAGCGAAUGGAUUAAGAGCUUGCUCUUAUGAAGUUAGCGGCGGACGGGUGAGUAACACGUGGGUAACCUGCCCAUAAGACUGGGAUAACUCCGGGAAACCGGGGCUAAUACCGGAUAGCAUUUUGAGCCGCAUGGCUCGAAAUUGAAAGGCGGCGUCGGCUGUCACUUAUGGAUGGACCCGCGUCGCAUUAGCUAGUUGGUGAGGUAACGGCUCACCAAGGCAACGAUGCGUAGCCGACCUGAGAGGGUGAUCGGCCACACUGGGACUGAGACACGGCCCAGACUCCUACGGGAGGCAGCAGUAGGGAAUCUUCCGCAAUGGACGAAAGUCUGACGGAGCAACGCCGCGUGAGUGAUGAAGGCUUUCGGGUCGUAAAACUCUGUUGUUAGGGAAGAACAAGUGCUAGUUGAAUAAGCUGGCACCUUGACGGUACCUAACCAGAAAGCCACGGCUAACUACGUGCCAGCCGCCGCAGUAA
rnacentral:rRNA from 1 species